UACAGAGGGUGCGAGCGUUAAUCGGAAUUACUGGGCGUAAAGCGUGCGUAGACGGCUAUCUAAGUCGGGUGUGAAAGCCCCGGGCUCAACCUGGGAAUGGCAAUGGAAACUGGCGGGCUGGAGUAUGGCAGAGGGGGGUGGAAUUCCGCGUGUAGCAGUGAAAUGCGUAGAGAUGCGGAGGAACACCGAUGGCGAAGGCAGCCCCCUGGGCCAAUACUGACGCUCAGGCACGAAAGCGUGGGGAGCAAACAGG
rnacentral:rRNA from 1 species